AGCUAAAGACCUGACCCUUGCUUGUGGAAAAGAGGAUGCCUGGAGAAGCCGAGUGCGUGUAGGUCGUUGCUGAUACGGAGAAAUCAGGAGAGUGAAGAUGGUGAUCCAACCAGGGAUAUGCCUGCAGUGGUACACAUUAUGAGCAUUCCCGUGCGGCAGCAGAAGAUGCUUGUCCUCAUGAUCCCAAGAACUGUUGGGAAGCACAGCGUUGAGUUAGAUCUGUCUCCAAACACACUUUAGAGGUGGACCUGAGGAUCUGGCCUCAGUGAUACCUCCUCUACCAGGCUGGUGCAAACUUAAGCGAUGGAUCCUCAGUACUGCAGAGGAUGAUGAGUGGGUGUCUAUGUGUGCUGAGGUCAAUGUUGCAGGGUUUAGUUCCUAGAAAGGGGAUAGCAACACAUAGAAAAAUAAACUCACAACACUCCAUUAGGCAUACAGGGGAGUUGGGGGAAUCUCUGUCCCAUGUGGCCCUCAGUGUUUUCAUUCUUAGGCUUACACAUGCAUAGCAAAUAAUGGCCAUGACAUAACACAGAUGGUUUUAAGAGAAGUUCAUUGAUUUUGUGGCCUGUAGUUUUAACAGGUUUGUUUGCUAGGAAGGCAUCUGGCUACGGUAAACAGUGCAUGGGGACCUAUGGAUAGGAUUUAACUUAUUUUAUCUAAUUUAAGGUAGGAGCAGCUGCAUUCUUCAACUUACAUUGGCAUGCAUGCUUAGUUAGGUACAGUUUUGCUGUCAGCUACAUAGAGAUAUGACAGUGGUCUCCUCUCAAGCACUGCCACACACAGGCUGGAGCCUUCAGAAGAGGAGCCUGAGCUUCCAGGAAUGGCUAAGGACCCCCAGGCUACAGGAGGCCACUCCCUCUCCAAACCCUGCACACCUGAACAUAGGCUCUGCCCAUAGCCCUGAAACCUUUGGCCAGUUGCCUAGGAAACUCCUUAUCAUCCAGCAGCAGCCUUCCCACAGUCCUGAGGCUAUAGAUCACUUGACCCCCACACCCACCACCAUUGCCUAUGUGCUCAAUGAAUGUCUCCAUAUGCUAAUUUGGCAUCAGAAAUGAACUUGGUAUGUCCAAUUCCCUUAGGGUCCUCUCCCCCACCCUCAGAAGCUUAUAAACUCAUUUCACUGACAAUAAACUGAGAGAGCUGCUUAACUA